UAAGAACCUACCCUCAUAUUCCGGCAGAGCAUCUCAAUCAUGACCCCAUAUGCCAUUCAGUCCUGGGUCUCUCUCAAGCAGAGACUGCAAAUUGAUUUUGGAUCGAGAACACCAAAGCCAGGCCACCAGAGAUGCAAGUGGUGUCUUCAGAGCGUGUCCUCCCAUGUCUAAAAGAUUGAUUAAAGAGCAACCGCAUGGCUGAUGAAAAAGAGGCUGUUUAAUGCCCACCUCUCAUGUCCCUCAGAUUGGAUGCUGAUGUGGUCACUUCCUUCAUCAAACUGAUUUCUGGGGCUGUUUCCUUCGCUGCUCAAGUAUGACCUUUGUGAAGUGAUAUCUGCCUACUGCUUAGACAGGUGGUGUGUCUACUCAGCAUUUCUCAUGUGACACUCAAGUCUAGACUGACCAGGCUUUGACCUCAUAGUUUGAGUCCAUAAAGUCACUAGACUAGAGUUAGUUUUUUUAAAUUUUGUCAGUAAAAGGUCAUCCAAUAACCUUCACAAUCAUCUUGUAUGAAUCUGUUAUGGUUCAAUAAACAUACUCAAGCUAUUAUAUUGGAAACAAGUAAUACAGGUUAAACAUGAAAUAAUAAAAUAACUAUUGCAUUUAUGUCUGCAUUGACCCUAUCUGGAUUGACCCUGGUAGGGGUUAGUCCUU